rnacentral:rRNA from 1 species
UGAGGAAUAUUGGGCAAUGCCCGCAAGGGUGACCCAGCAACGCCGCGUGGAGGAUGAAUGUCGUAAGAUUGUAAACUCCUGUUAGAGGGGAAGAAUAGUACCGGUUGGACCGGUAUAUGACUGUACCCUCAGAGAAAGCCCCGGCUAACUACGUGCCAGCAGCCGCGGUAAUACGUAGGGGGCAAGCGUUGUCCGGAUUUACUGGGUGUAAAGGGCGCGCAGGCGGGAUAAAAAGUCAGUGGUAAAUCCUACAGCUUAACUGUAGAACUGCCUUUGAUACUUUUAUUCUUGAGUUCGGGAGAGAGAGACGGAAUUCCAGGUGUAGUGGUGAAAUACGUAGAUAUCUGGAAGAACACCAGUUGCGAAGGCGGUCUCUUGGUCCGACACUGACGCUGAGGCGCGAAAGCGUGGGGAGC